GCGUGAUGGCUCCUUUUCCAUCGUGUGUUUUCCUCGAGGCUGCGAGACGCUCGCACAGCGACACACAAGCGCUUAGAUGCACACAAAUGUCAGACAACAUGACGGACUUCCUGCGCGGUCGCCCGCAUCACCGCUUGCACAAGUGCCGGGUCGAUCGGACAUCACACACACACGCGAUGCGAACGCAAGCGAGGAGGUCGACGUUGUGAGCGCCACGACUUGCGCCUCAUCUCCAGAAGCGGCUCUUGAGCAGCCGCGCCACGUCGCUCCACCACAGCAACGUCCAGGGCGUCUGCAGCGUGCGUCUCGGCGUCGCUGGCGGUCGCGCUCGGCAUCAGCGCCAGAGUUGUCCUUACCGACACCGCCGCCACAGCAUCUCUUCACGCGUGCGCACGCCCGUCACGAACGUGCGAACGAAGAUGCACGGUCGACGGGGGUCAGCCUCAGCAGUGUCACAGCCGUGGGUAGUCGCAGCCGCAGCUCGAACAUGCUAGAUGGCAUGCGUGUCAGCCCCCCGCUAGUGACAACAGCAGCACACGGCAGCUCCGGGGCUGCGAGUGCUGAUGACGAGGAGCGCAGAGCCGAGCACGCGUCCGAGCUGUCUUGGAAUCCGCGUGCACGAGCUCACCCUCUAAAUGGCGCCACACAUCACGGCGGCAACGCCAAGUUGAAGCGAUGCCUUGCCCACCGACCGUGGUCGGCAAGCGACGGACGGCCACCGCCUGCCUCACCGCAGCAGCAGCCGCUGCGGACGUCCCUCCGGGGCGCUCGCCCGUAUACGUAUGACAUUCCUGCGACACUAGCAAGCCUUCUCUGCCGCUACCUCUCUCGGACACCGCCACUAUCACCUGCAGCGGCCGCAGCAGGGGUCCCUAUGCCCGAAGAUGGCACCGCUUGCACUCACUUUCUCUCAGUACGCUGGGGCUGCGUGGAGGUCACGGCGCCGCAGUCCCAGUCCAGUCCGCAUCGACGGACUCCCGCGGAGGGGUGCUCGUGGGCCGCGGCGUCUUUUUCCCCUUCCGCGCGCCACCCUCCUCGUCCACCGCUGCGUGCAACGUCGUCUCCUUCACCACCACCGCGGCCGUCGGCUAGCCAUGUCAUUAACAAGCACGACGCCGACAAGGAGCAACGUGGCAGCAGCUCCGGCUGCAGUGUCACGAGUUGUCACGUCCCGCAUCGGUCGCAACAGCAGGAGCACCUGUGGAACCUCCUCACGCACUACCCACGUGACGCGAGUGCCUGUCUCGCGCUGGGCCUCAGCGUCUGCGCGGCGCUGGAUGCCAUGCGGGCAGCACCACCACCAGUGCUGCCCGUGGCGGUGCUGCAGGACAUCGCGGCGACGACGGCGACAGAGGUCUGCUUUUUCGUGCACGCCUGCGAGGAGGCGUGGCAGACGCCAGAAAAAGCAUCAUCCGAGCCAACGGCAGCUCCACCGCCGCUCGCCAGGAGCGUCGACGACUCUACGUGCACGUGUGGCUGUUUGGCCGCGGGGCAGCUGCUCGACCCCGCUCUGUAUAGGUUUCAUCUGCUGUACUACCGCCACCACCAUCGCUAUGCGCCGUUGCGGCGGGGCGACGGCGGCGAAGGCCAAGCUGGCGAGUCGGCGAUGAGCGAUGCGCAUAACGAUGGCGAGCGCAACGCGCUUGAGGAGGCGAGGGCAGCGGUUUUUGGCCACCCGCAUCCCCAGAGGCAGCCGCCUCGGCACCCACGGUACGCUCCGCUUCCUCCCCAUGAUGGGUGGCAGGCUCCCGGCACAGCGGCUGAGCGGGCACCCGGGCCCACUGCCACCUCUCCCUCUCCCCCUCCCCCUCCCCACCUCGCGCGUGCUCAAGGCACCUCGCCGACGGUGCUGCUGCCACUCCUUGCCGUGCAGACGCUCUCCAGAUUUGUGGGGGUCUCGAACGCGCGUCGGAGCUCGGCGAUGUCUCGUCAGCGACGGCGCUGGGGACUGCGCGAGACUCGGCGAAGUUGUCGGCGCUCUUCCGCCGCCCCUCCAGGGUCCACUGCGACUGCCGCACCACCUCUGCCGGGGGCGGAUUCGGCGAACGCGGCGUCGCUGGACAAGCAGGCUAUCUCGAGGCCAUCCACGACGCAACCGUCGCAGACGGCGAAGGGCAAGGACGACGAGGCGGAGGCGGAUCCAGUGAGCAACUACGCCCACUUCUGCGACGAGACGGAGCGGCUGUGGGCUGUGAUGGCGAGCGUCUUGCUCGCUUGGAAGCAGCUCGAGCAGUGUGUCUCCUUGACUGUGCUCGUGCCGCGGCUGGAGGUGCUUCCCUCAUCCUCAUUGCACACGCGGCAGUUCGCGCCGCAGUCAACAUCCUUGCAUGUCUCGAGAUCGUCGGCCUUGUCGCCGCUCGCGCGCGCCGCCGCGUCGAUGCGGCUGCACAGAACCACUGUUGAAGGCAUGCUGCUGCACGCCGCCUUUGAGCGCGCCGCGCUCGCUCGCCUGCGCGUCCGCCUUCUCUCCCUUCCCCCGAGGCCCCGAGACACGUCGGAGGCAAACCUGAGCGACGACGUCGCAUCCUCGCUGCUCAUGAUGGAAAGCUUUCUGUGCAGUGAGCUGCAGGGCCGGAUUGCCCACCUGCCGCUGUGGUGCGCCGUGGCGGUGGAGGUGCUGCAGCUCUACGUCGAGCAGUCUCGCCACGAUCGCGCGUUGCGGGAGCGAAGGGCGCAGGAGGAAAACGACGGCACUGCUGUUCCGGGCGCUGCGGGUCGCAAUGAUCACGCGGCAUGGGGAUUUGUGUACUCUGGCCGUGUGCAGCAAGUCGUGCUACUGGCCACACGCAUCAUGACCCUUCCCUGCGUGUUCGCCAGCGACGCGUCCACUCCUGCCUUGGCAGCGGCCCGAGCCGAGGCACCGCCGCCACCACCGUGUCGGACGUGCAGAUGGCAUCGAGCCUCGCUGGCAAAUCACGCUGCGAGGGCCGUUCGUGAAUGUGGCGACUCGCAGCACGCCUCGCAUGACUUCCAGGCCACCGCAGCAACACCCGCUUCGCCUGCAGGUGCGAAAGUGGCUGUGCCAGUCUCGGCGGCGACCGUGACGCAGCUCUCGGAGGUGAUGUCCCGGCAUCCGCUCUUCGGCGUUGCCGUGGCGGUGGUCGGUGGUGGCGUACCACUGCACUGGGCCGAGGCGUGUGUGGCACCGCGCGCGAUGAAUGUCCACUCUCUCGCAACAGUCCCACUGCCGCCUCUCCCAGCACAGAUAAACAGCCGCAGUGGCGACGGCGUGGAUGCGUGGCGGACUCCUGUCGCCGCCAUGGUGGCAGCAGACGCUGAGGCACAGACAGAGUUGCGUCGACUGGUGCAACUUCUCCACAAGUGGCUGCGGGAGGCGGAGAGGCGUCCGUGACUACCAUGGCGUUUUUCUCUUUCCUCACCUUUCGACACCAUGCAUGUGGAACGAAGUGAGGGGAGGGUGGGCAAUGCCCCAACAACAACACCAGCACCACCGCCGCCGCUGCUGCUGCUCUCCUAUCGUUCCCCUCCACACGCAUGCCUGUACCAACACGAAGCGGCUCUUCGUGCGUGAUGCGUGCGUAUCCUUUCUCGCCCCAACUCUUCAUCUAUCGUGUGUACACAACCUUCUGCUACAGCUCAGCUGCUGCGCUUCGGCCCUCCUCUCUCCGCGCCUCAUCUAUUCCUUGAAGCCAUCAACAAGCCACUGCAGCAAGGCCAAGACAGCAGCAGCGGGAAUCCAAGAAGCGAACGGUAUGACUCACGCCCUGCCCUCCCCGCCGCCCACCCCCAACUCUCUCCAGCUCUCUCUCUGUAUGGCCUCCCCUCGGGGAUAAGGUGGGCGUGGAUUAUCAAGGGAGAG
rnacentral:misc_RNA from 1 species